rnacentral:rRNA from 1 species
CGUGUAGGCGGGACUGUAAGUCAGACGUGAAAACCAUGGGCUCAACCCAUGGCCUGCGUUUGAAACUAUAGUUCUUGAGUGUCGGAGAGGUAAUCGGAAUUCCGUGUGUAGCGGUGAAAUGCGUAGAUAUACGGAGGAACACCAGUGGCGAAGGCGGAUUACUGGACGAUAACUGACGCUGAGGCGCGAAAGCGUGGGGAGCAAACA